UACGUAGGGGGCAAGCGUUGUCCGGAAUCAUUGGGCGUAAAGCGCGUGUAGGCGGCCAGGUAAGUCCGUUCUGAAAGCCCGGGGCUCAACCCCGGGAGGCGGAUGGAUACUGCUUGGCUCGAGUCCGGAAGAGGUGAGUGGAAUUCCCGGUGUAGCGGUGAAAUGCGCAGAGUAUCGGGAGGAACACCAAUGGCGAAGGCAGCUCACUGGGACGGUACUGACGCUGAGACGCGAAAGCGUGGGGAGCGAACGA
rnacentral:rRNA from 1 species